rnacentral:tRNA from 1 species
AGGAUUUUAGUUUAAAAAAAACAUUUGAUUUGCAUUCAAAUAUUAUUAAUUUUAUUAAUUUAUCUUA